AUCGAUGUCAGUCAGUCAGUAGAACCUACCCACCCUCACGGCCUGGAGUUCUUGUUCCGGGACUGCAGGAAUGUCUCGCAGUUUUUCCAGAAAGGAGGAGUCAAGGAAGCCCUUAGUGAACGAGAACUCUUCAAUGCUGUUUCAGGCUUAAACAUCACAGCAGAUAAUGAAGCUGAUUUUUUAGCUGAGGUUACAGCAACUCCAUGUAAAGAUGAUGGUGAUGCAAGGAUUUCAGCCAAUUCCUGUCUCAGCAUGGGACUCUCCUGCUAAUGCAGCCUGGGAUCCUUAGACCAGCAGCCAGAGAUUUCCAAUCCUUUGGUAGGCAGGGCCAGCGCCCUUAAAUCAGCAAGAAGACGACACAGAUGACUGACCUCCUCCCUCAUCAACCCUUAAGAAUAAGGGAUGGAAAUCUCUGAAGGGGGAAUGAGAUAGGAAGAUCACUGGGUGCUCGCAAGAGGAUGGAAGAAUCCACACAAGAGCUUAAACAAGAGCUAGGCAAAGAAACUGUGGGAUAACAGAAAACCCAAAAUCAGGAGGAGAAGGCUGGGUUUGGUGGCUCAUGACUGUAAUCCCAGCACUGUGGGAGGCUGAGGAGGGCAGAUCACCUGAGGUCAGGAGUUCGAGACCAGCCUGUGCAAUAUGGUGAAACCCCUUCUCUACCAAAAAUACAAAAAAAAAAAAAAAA
rnacentral:lncRNA from 10 species